UGUUCCUUUUUGGACCACUUUGUUCACAUUGGACUUGUUUGUAACUAGUUCAAUACUGUUUAGCCCAAAAAGCUUCUCACUUCUUAUCUGAUUAUUCGACUGUUCAUGAACCUUAUUGGAGAGGGUGGAGUUGCACUGUUCAUUUUUGGACCACUGUGUUCACAUUGUGCUUGUUUGUAGCUGGUUCAAUACGGUUUACCUAAAAGGCUUCUCACUUUUCAUUCGAUUGUUCGACUGUUCGUGAACGGGUUCCAUUACCGUUCCCUAAAUAUCUCCACUAAAAAGUGCAUUUUGCGUUCUCUCUCACUUUGUGCUAUGCUUUUCGAUCUCUCUGCUUUUGGAUCUCGAUUCCAUCGGACUUCAACAUACAAUUUGGGGACGAGGAUGAAGAAGACGAAGACGACGAAGAAAAAGGCUCCGUUGUGACGACUGGUGAAGGAGGAGGAGCUGAAGCUCGAGAUCGAUGACCUCAAGGCCAAGGUCAAUACUUUUUUCCCCUGAAGAGAACCAAAAUUUGCAAAGUGAGAAUGACUUAUUGAUUGCUAUAAAUUUGUUUAGUUUAAUUUUUUUUGUGGUUUUGUCGCACAUGAAGGGGCUGCAGCAAUUUGCCGACGUGGAAGGAGCUUAGAAAUUCAUAAUAAUGCAUCUGCUGAGGUAGCAGUAGACCUGUAUCACAAAUACAAAGUAGUUGGAUUUUAAAUCUUCGUUUAAAAUUUGACCAUGCAUUAACGAAAUUUUACACGAACCAUUUCUGUGAAUAUAUAGCAAGAUGUCGAUCUUAUGGCGGAACUGAACUUGGAUCCUUACUGGUUUUUAAUUUCGUGGUCAAGAAUAUAUACGAGUAAUUGUCGUAACAGAUAUUUUCACUUGACUUAAUUUAUGAAUAAUCAGUAGCACAAGUAACUACAUGUUCUUUACAUGUAGAUGGAACUGGGAAAGUAAAUUGGAAGAGAGUUGCUUAUAUAGUGGGCUGAUCAACUAUAUGCUCAGCUGUGAAAUAGUAUAAGUAUCAUAAGAAAAUCAAUGUGAUUUAAUUGUGUUCUAUUUGUAUAAUAUUGAUUCAAGUUCCACAGGAAAGAUUUUGCUAAUUAUGCAUAAUGUUGUUUCAAAACAUUUGAGGAUAGAGUAAAGAAUUGGCAGACAUUUAAUUAACCUAUAGUGAUAGCUGUACUUGGAUAUGACUACGUGUUCUUUGCACCAGAACGAUGCUCAAAAACAUUUGCAAAUUGCGCUGAA
rnacentral:lncRNA from 1 species